GAGUGAGUUACAUUGUUUGGUUGGGAGGAAGCAUAGCUUCUCAUGCUACCUUCAAUGUUUAGAGUCCCGGUUGAGAAACGUCGACGUUUUAAGCUCAAUCAAUAGGGACUCUUUUGUACCGGUGGUUAUUCUUGCCACUGAAGGCCACGCUGUCUGUACCGGGGAGAUAUUUCUAGGAUGGGAUUCCUGUUGCUGUCGUGGACAGUUUGAGUUUCCUCACUCGGGGACUAGAGUGGUUUUGGGGCUAUAUGGUGGAGUUUGUUGGAUGCACAUUGAGCUUUGUCGUCUUCAUCAGAUUCAAUCUUCUUCGAUAUCAUCGUCUACCAUGUCUUCAAGGAUAAGUACUACAGACAUUCAGUGACAUUCAUGUUCCCCAUUGGACUAUGCUUAACUUUCAACCAGAGUUUCCACUCCUGUUUAUAUGCUUGCAAACCCACAUACUUACAUUUCACAAAGCAACUGAGACUGUUGUUUUUCUUGUUGUUUAUUUUGUGCUUGGUUUAUGCCAACUUCUACCACACAAUAAUAAUUGGUUUAAUCUCACUUUGUGUAUUUGGUCAUUGUGUCAACAUAUUAUUUGUGUUUUAAGGUACACUUAUGAAGAAAGGUUGGUGGGCCCCUCUCUCAAAAUAUAUUGUAGUGGCUCAUUCUUUUAAAGAGAAGGGGAGCGGUUACAUCCCAGUCAGCAAACAAAUUUGGCCCAGACUUGGCAUGCAUCUGGCACAGCUGGCAUUCAUCCGGCACUGGCAUACAGCAUGUGGGCCAAACAUGGCCCGGGUUUGGCAGAGAUGGUACCGGGUUUAAGACGGCACACAAGACAUGGGCCAGAUGUCAAAUGCAGUAUUUGGCCCAGAUGUCAAAUAUAGAUAUGUGGGCCACAUAAGUAUUGCCGAUCUUGACCCACAUUUAAAAUCCAUUUCAAAUAUUUUUGACUAAAAUGCCAAUGUUUUCCCAUACAGAAAGGUAAUAUAUUCACAUAUAUGUGAAACACUUUAAAAAUAUAUUUUCAAAAUGUAUUUCAAUAUAUUUAACAAUGCAUAACAUAAAGCUCAUAUUGUGUUUGCAUGUGAAAUUAUAUUCAUGCCCCAUAUGAUUAUAUGUUAUAUUAUAGAAUAGUAUAUCCUGUUGUUUUAUUUAGCCUAUAUAAUUGACUUCAAACUGUAAAUUGAAUGAGAAUAUGAAAGCAGUGAAUGCAAAACAUUGUUUGAUGUAGGCCUACUAAACAAUACAUGAUGAAAUUUCAGGACAUUUUAUUUGACUUUUGUACUAUUUAUGUAAAUGCGUAACUUUGAUGUGUUUUUGGCCAUGUUGGCCAAUCAGAAGCCUGACAAAGUUUCAAGUAGGCGGAGAUAAUAGCGCAGGCUCCGACGUCACAAGCCAAAAACUCCGGUUUAGCUGUCUACAUGAUAACUCCUGCCAGGGUGAAGAUUUAAAAAAACUCUGGCUGCAGUGUUUUCAAAAUGUUCGGUUUCAGUGACCUGCUGCAGCGCUUGCGUGAGGACGAACGGAACAAACCACAUAGAAAAAGCUGCUGUUUUGAAAAUAACCGCGUUCGUGUGGACGGCCAAUGAGCGCGCGCGUUGAGCAUUCAAAUCACAUUUAAACUGAAGCGGAGGAGGUUACCAUGGUAACAGGGCGUCAACUCACUCAGCUGACAAGUAGCGAGAAGCUGUCUCUCUGCUCUUUUCACUGCUUUCAGGUAAGUUUAGUCCCUAAAGUUACACAAAUAAUACAUACAACUGUUCCUGACACUUUCUUACAUGUUACUGACACGUUUCUGUUGAAUCUUUACUUUACAGGAGUGGUAUAGUGUCUUCAAAAAGACCGUUAGCAUCACAACCGUUAACUAUAGAGGCUAACAAUUAGAGGAGCGUCAGAAUAAAAUACCUAAAACAGGGGAAGUUACAAAAAAAUGUGUAAUUUGAGCUGCUGACAGAGAUACAGGAAACACAGAGCUAGAGCGGAGCAGAUCUCCUGUCGAAGAACAUCUCCAAAGCACCAUGAACCAUCUGACUAGGCAGUUCGUGAAGACGGAUAACCUGGACAGAAGUCAGUUCAAGAUCCAGUCUCCACACCAGACUUCUCACUCACAAGGAUUGCUGUCUACUAGAUAUUAUGUGUACUCUUCAGACUUGGGUUCAUGCAGAUAUUAUUCAGGGACAUGAACACUUGAAUACUGCAAAAAUAGAGAAACUACCUUAUUUAAGAAUUGUGAUAAUUGUGUGAACAUUAAACAAAUAUAUAUUUAUUUUACUGUUUUUUGUUUUGUAUUCCAAAGCACCUACAAGCCAAUUCACACUGCCAUACUCCAACAGGAUGAACACACUGACCAAGCAAAACAAAUAAGCAUGUUUUUAUAGUUUUUGUGAAAGUGUGAACUGACAAUGCUGUAUGUUAGGUGUGAGAUUCAUUCAACUUGGUUUGCUGAUUAAACAUGAUUAAAUAUUUGUUCAGAAUAUUGUCGUUGUUGUGACUAUU